GCAGAGAAAAUCUCAACAUCAUCCCUGGCAUGCGAGAAAUUCGGAGUACUCUCAAACUUUCACCGCAGUCGCCUGCUUCUUGUUGGUGGACGGGUCGACCCGCGAGGGUUCGGCGUCACUCGACGCUCGUGACUGGCAUCAGAAAUAGCAGAGCCCAUGGCUGUCUCAUGAAUACUCCCUUCCACGUCUCCUCCGGGAAACGGGGCUGGGCUGGAAGAUGAGGCUAGACCUGGUGUCUCUUUGGGAAGCCGUCACAGAGAUUGUACACUGUACUUGAGUGCGAUGCGCAACUUGGUCUUGCCCGCGUACCCCUUGUCGCCCUCGGGCUUCGAGGAACGCGGGGCCAAAAUUCGAUUCCGAUUAUCCUGU
rnacentral:RNase_P_RNA from 1 species